rnacentral:lncRNA from 1 species
UUCCCCACCCGAGACCACGAGCAAAAGCGAAUUAUAUUAUUCGCCGCUUUCCAGAACCUUCUUCAGUUCUUCUCCGACUCCGACUCCGACGACCAGUCAGCUCGAAGCGAUGGCCGCCGCCGCCGCCGGAUCCAAGGCCCUCGCCGUCCUCGCCGUCCUGGCGUUCGCCGCCAUCUCCGCCGUCUCCGCGGCCGACGCGCCGGCGCCCAGCCCCACCUCGCGCUCGUCGCCUCCGCCGCCGCCUUCCUCUUCUCCGCCGUCCGCCACUGAGCCCCCCCCCCCCUGUCGAUGGGGAUCAUCCUCGGCUUACAACAUCCGCCUCCGCCGCCUAGAUCUACUAGUACUAUUUAUCACCAUUACUAUUGUUACUACCACCGCUAGCUAGCGAAUUUGUUGGUUAUUAUUAUUAUUAUUAUUACUGCUAUUAUUAUUAUUCCUGUCGCAUUUUGCUCAGAUCUGCCGCUUCUAGCGCGCUGAUCUGUGUUCAUCGGUUGUGUGCGUCAGUGCGUGUGCGUGCUUGUAGAUACUUUCGUCUUGAGUGCUCUUCUCUUCUCCUCUGUUCGCUUUGCCCGCUACUGAUUUAUAUUACUGCUCCCACCCAUUUCGAUCUGAGUUGUAACUGUUUUCGCGACUCAUUUUUCUGACGUGAUUUCCUA